GAUAAACGCUGGCGGCGUGCAUAACACAUGCAAGUCGAACGAUAAAGAUUAAAAGAUUUCUUCGGAAUGAACUUAAUUGGAUUAGUGGCGGACGGGUGAGUAACGCGUGAGUAACCUGCCUUGUACAAGGGGAUAGCCGUUGGAAACGACGAAUAAUACCCUAUGACAUCAAAUAAUCGCAUGAUAAUUUGAUCAAAGAUUUAUCGGUAUAAGAUGGACUCGCGUCUGAUUAGCUAGUUGGUAGAGUAAAAGCCUACCAAGGCAACGAUCAGUAGCCGGCUUGAGAGAGUGUACGGCCACAUUGGGACUGAGACACGGCCCAGACUCCUACGGGAGGCAGCAGUGGGGAAUUUUGCACAAUGGGGGAAACCCUGAUGCAGCGACGCCGCGUGAUUUAGAAGGCCUUCGGGUUGUAAAAAUCUUUUGUAUGGGAAGAAAAUGACAGUACCAUACGAAUAAGGACCGGCUAAUUACGUG
rnacentral:rRNA from 1 species